GACGGUUUGGCCGAGUGGUCUAAGGCGCCAGAUUUAGGCUCUGGUCUGAAAGGGCGUGGGUUCAAAUCCCACAACCGUCA
rfam:Ipomoea nil DNA, scaffold: scaffold3210, cultivar: Tokyo-kokei standard.